CAGCCCACAGACGCCUGCGGGCUGAGCGCGGGUCACUCACGUCCGCCACGUGCCGGCCGGAGCGAUCUGAGACCUGUUGGUUCACCUCCUCAACCUCCUCUCCACAACCAGUUGCCCAAAACAAAAGCGGUCCCACGAGGGCGCAUCUGCGGCCCGCUGCAAGGAGAGCGGGCGCAGGCAAAUCACGCGGACUGAACUUAAGUAAGCUGUGUUAGAUGGGAACAUGGAAUAUGGAUGCGCACUUCGGGUGCACCAUGGAAAAGGAAGUUCCGUUCCACUGCGACCUUCCUGUGGAGAAAUCUGACAACAGCCUGACCUUUCUUUUGAAUAGCCGGUUUUCCUGCUUGUAUGUCUGUGCAUCACAUGGAGUAUGGAAGAGGUCACCAGAUCCCUUGGGACCAGAUUUCCAGACAGUUGUGAGCUGCUGUGUGGGUGCUAGGAAUUGAACCCAGGACCUCUGGAAGAAUGUGCUGGGAAUCAAACCCAGGACCUCGAGUGCCACAAGAGAAAUGGAUGGAGAGCUGAGAAGAUGGCUCCUUCAGCUCUGUGUGCUAGAUGUGCCCAAGGACCUGGCUUUAAUCCCCUAGAAUCCACGUGCAGCACGUGCCUGUAAUCUCAGCCCUGGCGAAUCAAGUCCCUGGGGCGGGCUGGCCAGCCAUCCUAGUCAAAUCUGUGAGCCUCGGGGUCAGUGAGAGACUCUGUCCCCGGAAAUAAGGGGGAGGAUGAUUAAGGAAGACAGCCGCCCCCAGAUGCACAAGGAAGUGGCGGGUGGUGCUCGGCCACCACACGUACCUGCAGGAUGUCCUUAUUGUGAGAUGCUCCUCCCGUGGCCAGAAUCUUUGACUUGGGCACUGUAAGAUAUAAGAUGAAAGAGAAAUGAAAUGGUUGUAGCAAUUCUCCCAAGGCAGAAAGGACGUCCUUCAGCCGUGGAUGGCUUCCGGUGGGUCUUCCACGGCUAUGGAGAGACGCCAAGCUUGGCUUGUCCCACGCAAGGCUCCUCACAUAUAAUUUGCCUGGGAAUCUACAGUCCCUCUGCCUUUGUCUCUACCAGAAAAACAUUUUAAAAAGAACUUGGGGUUCGGGUUUGUAGCUCAGUUGGCAGGAUGCUUGCCCAGCAAGGCCCUGAGUCCACCACCACUUUGCCACUUUGCUUCACCCCUCUGCCCCCCCGACCAAAAAAGGAAAAAAACAUCUCCCAACAAACCAAUUCUAUAAGUAAUUUACUUGAAGUGAUAAGGGCCUCCUAUCCAAACCUUACAUUUUGGUGGGGCGAUGAGGAGGAUGAUUGGGGGUGAUUAUCAUCAUCAUCACCAUUAUCUUGCCCUUUAAAAAGGAUUUAUUUCAUUUCAUGUGCACAGGUCUGAGUAGGUGAAUAUACGUAUGUGAGCCUGUGGAGGCCAGAAGAGGGUGCUGGGUCUCCUGGACCUGGAGUUACACUUGGUAGGAACUGAACUCCGGUCUCCUGUAAGUGUGGCAGGCAUCCACCACCCUUUGACAGGGACUGACCUAGGACUUCAUCUAGCCCCACACUCUCUAUGUAGUAGUGGAGGACCUAGAACUCUUGAUUUACCUGAGCUCACCUCCCUAGUACCAGGACGACAAACAUGAGCCAUCAUGCCCAAUGCAGACCAACAAACAACAUUCUAUUUCACACGAACUUGUUUACUUAUUUGUUUACUUAUGAAUGUGUGUCAAUUCUUGAAAUGCCCUUUUUAUUCUUACACACUAUUAAAACUAAACAUGAUGAUGACAGGCCAAGAACAAAACCUGAGCUGGCCAGUCCACCCAGCAGCCUAGACACGCACUCUCCCACGUAGGUAGGCACGUGUACUUCAGAGAUCCUGCUUGAGAGCUGGAGACGUAGCUCAACGGCAGAGCACUUGCCUAGCAGGCAUGAGGUCCAGGGUUCCAUUGAAUUAUGAAAAAAAAAAAAAAAAAAAAAAGGAAGAGGGACUGGAGAGUGGGCUCAAAGGUUAAGAGCACUUCCAGAGGUCCCGAGUUCAAUUCCCAGUGCCUGCGUGGCAGCUCACAGCUGUCUCUAACUCCAGUUCCAGGGCCUUCAAUGACGUCCUUUGGCUCUGCAGGCACCAGGCACAUGAGACAUAGACAUCUUUGCAGUUAAAACAUCCAUACAUAUAAAAUGAAUUUUUUUUCUUCUUGCUUUUCAAGACAGGGUUUCCCUGGCUGUCCUGGAGCUCACUCUGUAGACCAGGCUGGCCUCGAACUCACAGAGAUCCACCUGCCUCUGCCUCCAGAGUGCUGGGAUUAAAGGUGUGCACCACCAGCACCCAGCAUAUAAAGUGAAAAUUUAAAAAUAAAAAAAUAAUAAUAAUAAAUU